rnacentral:rRNA from 1 species
AACGAACGCUGGCGGCAGGCCUAACACAUGCAAGUCGAGCGAAGCCUUCGGGCUUAGCGGCGGACGGGUGAGUAACGCGUGGGAACGUGCCCUUUGGUACGGAAUAGCCCCGGGAAACUGGGAGUAAUACCGUAUGUGGUCGAGAGACGAAAGAUUUAUCGCCAAAGGAUCGGCCCGCGUUGGAUUAGGUAGUUGGUGGGGUAAUGGCCUACCAAGCCGACGAUCCAUAGCUGGUUUGAGAGGAUGAUCAGCCACACUGGGACUGAGACACGGCCCAGACUCCUACGGGAGGCAGCAGUGGGGAAUCUUAGACAAUGGGGGAAACCAUGAUCUAGCCAUGCGGCGUGAUCGAUGAAGGCCUUAGGGUUGUAAAGAUCUUUCAGUGGGGAAGAUAAUGACUGUACCCACAGAGGAAGCCCCGGCUAACUCCGUGCCAGCCGCCGCCGUAACAC